rnacentral:rRNA from 1 species
AUUGAACGCAGGCGGAAUGCUUUACACAUGCAAGUCGAGGGGCAGCGGGGGCGUAGCAAUACGCCUGCCGGCGACCGGCGCACGGGUGAGUAACACGUAUGCAACCUGCCCGUCACAGGGGGAUAAGCGGAAGAAAUUCCGUCUAAUACCGCGUAGCACCUGCGGAGGGCAUCCUCUGCAGGUUAAAGAAUUUCGGUGACGGAUGGGCAUGCGGCGCAUUAGCUAGUUGGCGGGGUAACGGCCCACCAAGGCGACGAUGCGUAGGGGUUCUGAGAGGAAGGUCCCCCACACUGGUACUGAGACACGGACCAGACUCCUACGGGAGGCAGCAGUGAGGAAUAUUGGUCAAUGGGCGCGAGCCUGAACCAGCCAAGUCGCGUGAGGGAAUACGGCCCUACGGGUUGUAAACCUCUUUUGUCGGGGAGCAAAUGCGCCACGUGUGGCGCUGCGAGAGUACCCGAAGAAAAAGCAUCGGCUAACUCCGUGCCAGCCGCCGCCGUAA